AUUGUAUGAUUCUAUGAUAUUCAGUCUCUUUUAAUCUUUAGAACAUCCAGCCUUCUUAGGUGCUGAUUAGUGGCUGUAGUGGUAUAAAAAUUUCUGUCAUAGGACCUGAAAGAAAGUGCAGGGGUCUUUGUCGGUGGACCCCAAAUUCUAUGACCAGACUUUUGUCAGCUGAGUUGAAACACAGAAAAUAUAAUUUAUUUUACUGUGUGUGGAAGCUACUGGUAGAAGCUUCUCUGAGAUGAAUUUUCUUGCUGUUCACAGCAUUUAGAUAACACGAUGGGGAAAAAAGAUGUUCCUAAUUUCUCUUCUUAAUUAUUAAUAAAAUGAGUGUUGUAGAGUUGCAUACUUUUCUCCACUGGCUGUAAAAGGUGCCUACAAAGAUUAGUUAACAGGGAGAUGUCUGUGUUGUGGCAUCUUUAUUUAAUCAAAUUAAUCCAACACAUUUUUUCACUUCCCAGUUCUUGCUUAAAGUUCGCAUACCUUUUGAUAUUCUAUGAAUAUAAGACUACUUCUUAAUAGCAUCUUGAGUUAAUUGGUUGAUGGACGGACACAGCUCUCUCUGGGUGCUGUAAGAAUGUAAAACUGCACAAUGGGUGAUGGAGAUCAGCUCAACUCUGCAGAUGAGCUGAGGAAACUGACAGUAGGGCAAAGCAUGGAGAGAGGGUUUUUUUCUCAUGGUAUUCCUAAAGCUCCACUAUAAAUAAAGACAUUUUAAAG
rnacentral:lncRNA from 7 species